ensembl:snRNA U6 U6 spliceosomal RNA
GUGCUUGUUCCGGCAGCACAUAUACUAAAAUUGGAACAAUACAGAGAAGAUUAACAUGGCCCCUGAGUAAGGAUGUCACGCAAAUUCAUGAAGCAUUCUAUAUUUUU